rnacentral:rRNA from 1 species
CCUACGGGGGGCAGCAGUGGGGAAUAUUGGACAAUGGGGGCAACCCUGAUCCAGCCAUGCCGCGUGUGUGAAGAAGGCCCUCGGGUUGUAAAGCACUUUCAGUGAGGAAGAACGCCUGGUGGUUAAUACCCAUCAGGAAAGACAUCACUCACAGAAGAAGCACCGGCUAACUCCGUGCCAGCAGCCGCGGUAAUACGGAGGGUGCGAGCGUUAAUCGGAAUUACUCGGCGUAAAGCGCGCGUAGGUGGCUUGAUAAGCCGGUUGUGAAAGCCCCGGGCUCAACCUGGGAACGGCAUCCGGAACUGUCAAGCUAGAGUGCAGGAGAGGAAGGUAGAAUUCCCGGUGUAGCGGUGAAAUGCGUAGAGAUCGGGAGGAAUACCAGUGGCGAAGGCGGCCUUCUGGACUGACACUGACACUGAGGUGCGAAAGCGUGGGUAGCAAACAGGAUUAGAUACCCUUGUAGUC